rnacentral:tRNA from 1 species
GGGCCCGUGGCCUAGCCUGGAAAGGCGCCGGCCUGCGGAGCCGGAGAACCCGGGUUCAAGUCCCGGCGGGCCCGCCA